AUAGUUUCAGAAAUGCAAAUGCGUUCUCUGAUCACGUUGGCUGCAAUACUUGUUGUCGUAACUUCUAUUGAACCUAGUUAUGUUGAAACUAUUAUGGAAAGUGUGUAUUAUGAUGAACCUAUUAUGGAAACUGUGAAUAAUGAUGAACCUAUUCUGGAAAGUGUGGAAGCAGAUAUACUGCAAACAUGUUCAGGAGCGGAGUAUAACGAAAUGGAUUGCUCUUGUCUUGCAAGUGCUUACAACCUGAGAGAAUGUCCUGAACGCCUUAACUAUUCGGGUAGUUGUGCUACAUACAGUCAUCACUGUAAAAGGCUGACGGGCGGAAAAAGGGAGAAGAAGACUUGCUGCAAGGCUAUCAUGUGCUACAGAGAAGCAAGAAGCUGCUACUGAUCUGUACUUGAAGUUUCAACUGCAUGUCUAGGAUAAAACUGUGCGAACUUUGAAAUCUGAUUGAGACUGUUAUUU